UGGGGAAUAUUGCGCAAUGGGGGAAACCCUGACGCAGCGACGCCGCGUGCGGUAUGAAGUCCUUCGGGUUGUAAACCGCUUUUGUUUGGGAGCAAGCCUUUUGGUUGAGUGUACCUUUCGAAUAAGCGCCGGCUAACUACGUGCCAUCAACCGCGGUAAUACGUAGGGCGCAAGCGUUAUCCGGAAUUAUUGGGCGUAAAGGGCUUGUAGGCGGGUCGGUGGGUCUGGUGUGGAAGCCCAUCGCUUAACGGUGGGAUUGCGCCGGGUACGGGCGGGCUAGAGUGCAGUAGGGGAGACUGGAAUUCCCGGUGUAACGGUGGAAUGUGUAGAUAUCGGGAAGAACACCAAUGGCGAAGGCAGGUCUCUGGGCUGUUACUGACGCUGAGAAGCGAAAGCGUGGGGAGCGAACAGG
rnacentral:rRNA from 1 species